rnacentral:lncRNA from 1 species
ACGCCACGGAGGCGCUGCCGGGCUCCCCCUCGCCGCGCUCUGUUUACAAACUCACCCCGGGUAGACGGGUCGAACCGCACAUUAAAGGCCGGGUCCCCAACAGGCUUCCGUCCCUUCUCGCGAUAACUCACUGACAUACCCCCGCCCGAGGAAAAGGAGUCACGUGAUCCAAGGGGCGCUGUUGGAGGAGCCAUAGGGCAGGGCGCUGGUUGGCUCGGAGGAUGGGGCUGUGUCGUGUCUGUGUGGCCGGAAGCGAUAAGUAACAAGUUAGCGGGAAAGGAAGGCCGCUAAGCAGAGCCCGCGAAGGCAAGUGGGUGGAAGGGAGAUCUUCAGAGCUGUCACUAGUUUAGUUAACGAUUGUCGAAUGGUUGGUACUGAAAAUAAUGGGGGGAAUGGCUGAAGAAAGUGCACUUUAGAUGAAAUUUAAAACCGACAUCCUGACCCUUUUGUGUUCUCAUUUCAGCCUAUGCUCAUCUGUGACGUCAGGAUGGGUGCACGCUUGCAACAUGGUUGUCUGUAAAGACACAGAAGCCACCCUCUUGGUUGUGAACAGCCAGCCUGGAGAAGACCUCGGUCCCAAAUCCCAGGAUUUCUUUGGUAAACCAAACUCCAGUGGGCACAGUAGAGUCUUUCAUGGAAGAACCAGUGGAGGAUAUAGCAUCUCAGCCAGGAAUGUGCUUUAACCAAGCUUGUGAUCUGGCAGAAGCUAGCAAUCACAGCAAGGCAGUGAAUGGAAUAGCAUGAGAUAAAAGUUUACAAUUUCUUUUUCCAAAUUACACAGGAAGGAUGUAAAACUAUGCUGAGACUCGGACUUUUUGUUUGUUUGUUAAGAACUUUCAAGAGAGGCUCGGAUGUAGUGAGUGAAGAGAGGACACCUAAGAGACUGCUGUCUGUGAGCUAACAGCUAUACAGCCUAAGAGCCCAACAACAGAAGAGCUGGUACUCUCCAGGCAGUAAGACCAGCAUCACAAAAUGGAGUUCAGCAGCAGGAGGGCCAAGGGAGAGCUGCAAAAUGAAAAAAAGGAGAAGCUAGUGACAGAGGAGAUGUGAACUCUGGCUGAAAAGAUGGUGACACAGUGUCUUUGCCAUGAUAGGGAGAUGAGGGAGCAAGACAUGGCAUUUCAAAGGGACGUCUGAGAGACUGUUAGGGAUUAUGAACCAGUCAAUUCCAAGCUCUACUGCCCAACCCACAUGUCCAGUCCCAUCACUUCACUUCCAUUGCACCAUAUCUUCCAGCAUAUGUACAAGUCUAGAUGUGGGAGUCGGAGAGCAAGUCAAUGAGUCAUAGCACUGCACACCAUCAGCAGUAGCUGCGGUGUUCUGCCCCUAUUCCUACACAGGGGAACAAACUGGUAUCUUGAAGAUGUACAGUUCCAUUAGAUGUAACAGUGCACAUCAAUAUUUUCAGUAUAUUUUGCUCUUUGCUUCAGUAUUUUGCACUGUUAUAUUCUUGCUUACACCUGUUAAUGUUCUGCACAUCUUUUCAACUUCGUAAUGCUGGCUGGACUGCCCAAAACACGUUUUGCCUGGGGAAGACAGGGGCUGGUGAGCGCUUUGUAUAGCUCCAUGAAUGUACUUUUCUCAUACAAAAGCUCUGGACCCUGACCCUGCUGGCCUGUGUUUCACAAUGUAGUCCCACCACUCUGUGCUUGUGACCCUGAUCCAGAAGCAGCAGUUUGCCUAGUGUGCCUGGGGAUGUCUGCCAUGAAAGACAGCACUUGCUAGGUCCAUGCCGCCCUAUCUGCAUAGUGCUGGCCUUUUUGCCUUGUGCUUGUAUCAGCAAGCCCCUGCCUUCCCCAGGCAAAACGCCACCUUCACCCUAUUUUUGUGGCAGCUUCUGCAAAGGCAUGCCAAAGAAUUAUUGUUUCAAUAAAAAACAGCAGCUGUCACUCCCA